UACGGAGGGUGCAAGCGUUAUCCGGAUUCACUGGGGUUAAAGGGUGCGUAGGCGGGCUUGUAAGUCAGUGGUGAAAGCCCGGGGCUUAACUCCGGAACUGCCGUUGAUACUGCAAGCCUUGAGUACAGUUGAGGUGGGCGGAAUACAUCAUGUAGAGGUGAAAUUCUUAGAUAUGAUGUAGAACACCGAUUGCGAAGGCAGCUCACUAAAGUGUAACUGACGCUGAGGCACGAAAGCGUGGGGAUCAAACAGG
rnacentral:rRNA from 1 species